CAUGGUGGACAAGUCGGUUAACAGCUGUAAGUAUUAAGUUCCUUGAAAUUUAAGACAACUGCUAAAGCACAUAUAACACAAGGAAAUGAUUACUACUUGUCUCGUUUUUCAAAAACUUGAGAAUGGAUAUUAACGUGUCCACGGUAGGUAUAGCUUCCAACUUAGAUCGUGUUUUAUUUUAGUGAAUCGGUCAACUUUUUCCGAGUUAAGAUAAAGACUACAGUAGUAUACCGCUGUUCGAAAGUCAUUAAUCAAUUUAGAGAAAACAAAUCCGGGUAACAAACUAAAACUCAGGUGAACACAUCAACUAUUAGAGGAAUACAACGAAACAACAGGAACACUGAAGUGCAACGAAUAACCAAAACGACAAUCACGAUGCAACACACACAGAAACGAACUAUAAGAUAACAACUGCCAUUUUCCUGACUUGGUACAGGACAUUUUAAGAAACAAACGGUGGGUUGAACCUGGUUUUGCGGCUAGCAAUGUUUCCAAAAUGACAUCAUAUGCGAGCAGAUCGAUUUACAGCUAUUUCGACAAUACAAUACUAGUAGGAGCAUUAGAACGAUGUUUUGUUUUAAUUUCCAUUUCUGGAACGAUAAUAUAUGUUUUCAUCACAAUAAACCGUAAACGAAACAUUUAGAGUGUAUUUUCUGUAAAAAAAACCCCACACACACCUUUAUCCGUUUUAAUGUCUAUGUGUACGUACGUCUCAAUCAAAUGUCUGACCUCACAUAAAGAUUGUUUACACCACGAAAUAUUUACUGUAUGCAGUCCAUAUCGGUACACUAACAUAUAUAUUAUUUGAAUAGCCUUUGUAUGAAAUGUACGUUUUAAUACAGCAUCAUCAAACUGGUCUAUUGCAUUGUUUCGUGUAUGAAAAGUAUUUUUGAUUUAUUUAAAAGUUAGUUAAAGCAUUGUUUCAUGCACUGACAUAAUACAUUUUCAUCAAUAGGGAUUGGCAACCAAUGUGUCUUCAACACAGCGAGAAUAUAUAAGUAUGUAUAUUCCAUGUUAGCAUUUCCGUUGACGUUUGCAUUGUUAUGGGUAUGAAAAUGGCUUUAAUCUAUAUUCUGGAAUAAAGCAUUUUAAGAUUAGAUUAUACGCUUCUAAAACAAAUUCAUGCUGGAUGGAUAAUACAUUUUAUCAUAAAUACUAAUUUAACUCCUAUGAUAUUGAGUAUUAGGUUCUGGCAUCAUGUAUGUGUCUUACCAGAAAAGAAGUGGGGAACGUGGCUUCACGAUUAAAUAAAGAGGAAUUUUCAUUGUACAUUGUAUUUCAAAAGACAAUAUAUAGGCAAUUUUACACUAUUUUGCAUCUGUACCUGUUUAUACAUGUAUAAAGGUGAUCAGCAUACAAUAUAAUGUAAAAUAAUUUUACACUUGUUACUAAAAUAACUAAUAAACCGUGACAGAUAGUGGAUGGACAUGAAGUGAAACACUUUGCGUUUCGGUCACUAUAUUAAAGGUUGAUUUAGUAUGAAUGUAGUAGUAUAAAAAGGAAAAAAAGUGUUAGAAAACAGAAUCACUAUUUGUGUACCUAUUGUUUUGUUAGCUUGUCAUUAAAUUACGUGUGCCGAAUUUGUAAUUAAACAAACACAGGGGCAAAUAUCACAAGGCAACACAUGUAGGUAAUGCAUGUAUUCAAAGCGUAGUCAAUUAUUAAGGGGGUCUAUGCAAAAUAAUAAGAAGUGAUUUGAGGAGCUAACAUAUAAACAUGUACAUUCGAGAGAAAUGUCACCCGAUUCCAACAUAUUUCGAACUACGAAGGUAUCCUGUUUUGCUUAACAAAUAUAUGCUAGAUAGCAAGCUUUUGCUUCGAAUCGAUCUAGAACUGCAUUCGGUCAUCUUGGUCCAAAUGAAAAAGGGGGGCAGUGAAAAUAAUCGACAUUGACUUUCAAGUUACAUUUGUUACAUUUGGUUUUAAAAAAAAAAAACAUGUAUGUUAUUUGUCGUAUAUCAAUAAACAAGUGUCCUUUCCAUCGUUACGACUGAUAAUUUAACUUUACCUGCUGUAUUGAAUUAACGAAACCUACACCUUUUGUUAAUAAAUAUUUACUUUCAGACGCAGUAUGUAUAUUAGAGAAGUAUUGAUUACAGCAGAAAUAGUUUUAACGAUUAAAGAAAAUGAAGCUGUAAAAAAAUAAUAAAAUAAACCGAGAAACGUUUAUACUAAUAUGUUUACAAUGAAAUAAUUCCAGUACGAAAAAUAAGCUCGAAUUCGUUUAUAAGCUGUAAUAAAACGUGACCCGUUGAGAGAAAAACGCCUUAUUUAUACUUAACAAUUAAGAGUAAACAUGCAUGGUACGACACGUUUUGAUAUCAUUUGACUAGUGUAAGAGUAUUAUAAAACCGUUUCACAAUGUGUGAUGAAAUUCCUAUUGGUCAUGUCGUUAGGUAAAUCUGAAUGUAAAUAUGUUUUUUGCAACUCAUUUAAAAAGUAAAAUCACAAAAAUACUGAGCUCCGAGGAAAAUUCAAAACUUAAAGCCCCUAAACAAAUGGAAAAAUCGAAUGAUAAAAUGAUAUCAAACGAAUGGACAACUGUCAUAUUCCUGACUUGGGACACACAUUUUCAAGUGUAGAAAAUGGUGGAUUGAACCUGGUUCUUCUAUACUGAGAAGGUAAAUAUGCUAGAUAUACUUACUGGAGGUAUGAUGAGAUAUUUGAAGCUGUUAAUUUUCUCCUUAAUACUAUAUACGUAUUUAUGAACGUUUCGGCAAAAAAGUUUAUCAAAAGGUUGUAGGUAUUCCUAUCAAUUGCAGAUUUGUUCUUGCACUGUUAUGAAUCACAGUUUUUGACCAAACUCAGUGAAGACCCGUCUGAAUUGCAUUUAAUUGACAAAUUCAACAACACUUCCCGUUAUCUUGAUGAUAUUUUUCAUUAAUUAAUCAAGAAUAAAAUAUAGACAGUAAUAACUGUCUUUUCAAUGAUAUCGGUAUUUCAGUUUUACAACUAUAACUGUCAAAUAAAUUUUAAGACAAAAGGGACGAUUGUUUGUUCCCUAUUGUUUAUUUCCAUUUUUUUGGAUAGUGAUGUUCCUUUGGCACCAUUUUACGGGGUUUCGAAAUCACAACUCAUUCGAAAUGACCGUGUAUGUUGUGACAUUUUGGAUUUUGAUGAACGUAAUCUAUGUAUUAAAGUUAAAUUAUUAAGUCAGGCAUUUUACCACAAAUUACUCAAAACCUUUCGUAGAUUAUUCCAAUGAUAUAAAGAUUUGAUUUUGAGGUUUGGUUUCACCUGUAAAAUAAUUAAGUUAGGGAAAACACAUCUUCAUUUUUACGGAAAUGUUGUUUAACGAGCCUGGAAAUAUCAAAACGAUCCAGGUAAACUUAUUGAUCCUUAAAAUAAACUUAUUCUAAAAGGUAACCAACUCAACGCUGUAAUUAGAUCUUUUUUGGUUUUAUUGGUAUUAAUAUUGUUUUUCUAUCAGUAAAUUAAUAAAGCAAAGUAAUUGUUAAUACAAAUGCACAUUCAGGGCUCUACAAUCUGUCGAUACCUGUAUCUUAGCAUUGCACAAGGUCAUGUUUUUCUCUUGACUGUUUAUGACGUCUUUAUCCUAUGAGUUGAGCCCUUUUCAACUGAUUUGUAUGCUUUGUUCUUAUUUUGUAUUGUUACACCACUUUCCUUAUGUUAGGGGAGGGAUCGACGCCCGCUGAUAUGUGUAACACUACAACACCCUAUAUGUGCCUGUGCCAAGUCAACAGCCUGUAAUUGAGUGUUUGUUGUUUGCUUCUGUUCUUCAUAUGCGAUGUUAAUUGAUUAAUGUGAAUAGUUCUUGUAUUGUUCUGUUGGACCACUGUCCCAGGACUAAUAGAAAGACUGGUAACCAAAUAAUAUGUUUACCCCGCCACAUUAUGUAUGUACCUGUCCCAAGUCAAGGCUUGGCUUGUAAUUGAGCGGUUGUCGUUUAUUGCUGUGUUACUUAUUUGUUUUUUUGUUAAUAAUUUUGUAAAUAAAUGUCUCGGUGACAUAUAGUUGUUAAUUUCUGCGUCAUUUUGGGCUCUUGUGGAGAUUUGCCUUAUUGGCAAUAUUUCAACAUCUUUUUGUUUAUAUGCAUUAUGUUCUUGUCACUGUUGUUUCGUUGUUUUCUUCUUAUAGUAUAUGUGUUUCCCGCGGUUUUAUUUGUAGCACGGAUAUGUUGUUUUUUUUUCUCAAUCGAUUUAUGACUUUCGAACAGCGAUAUACUACUGUUGUCUUUAUUUAUCGAGCGGUAUUACAUUCGAUCAGAUCGAUUUACUGUUAUUUCGCGAUUUUAUUUUAGUUGUAUUAGUUUCUAUUCGUCUUAUUCUGAUUGGUAUACAUGUUUUGAACAAAAAAGACGCACGAGUUCCGUUAUUGACGUUGACAGGAAGAUUAUCAAAUUUUAAGUCUUGUCUUGUUAAAAAAAAACAUAAUAAAAACUACAGGUUUAAUGUUACAUCUUUUUGUUUAUAUGCAUUAUCUUCAUGUUACUAGAUAAAAUUAAUAAUCUGAAUGGCUGCAUAAAGUAAACUGCAUACACUCAAUUAAAUUAUAUUUGUUGGUUAUAAAAUGAAGUCUGGAGUUUGAGAAGACGGAAAAAUUAAAUACAAGUGUUAGAGAAAUUGAAAUUAUUUUCCACUUCUGCCAAUAUAAUAGAACAACUAUUUUAUUCCAGUUAAAAAUUUAAUAAACGGUCCAACAUAAUUAUAUAUGACAUGCAAUACUAUUUUUAAAGUGCAACAUAAUAAUCAUGUUAAUAGAAAUUAGUGAUGGUCCAUUGUUAAGAUGAAUUUGCUAAAACUUUCACAUUUAGAUACAAAAGAAACCAUUAUUUAAAUAAAUAAAUACAUGCAUUAAAAAAAAAUAAUACCAUCGAAAAUUUGAGAUAAAUAUGAGACGCCAUUUUUAAAAAUAUCAAUAAAGUUCGAAAGAUAAUAAUCAAACUGAUUUUCGUCUGGUCAUACUGUAUACAAACACAAGUCGGUUUUCAAAUAAGAAAGAAGCAAACAGUGAAAAAUAUAUUCAACAGUUACCACAUCAUCUUGCAGAUUGCGUAUUGCUUUCUUAUCAGGCGAUAUAAUUUAGGUAAAAUGAAUAGUAAUGAUUUGUUAGUCAGGUAACCUAGAUGAUAGAUAUUUGAACGAUGCGUCAGUAUACGAUUUUUUUCAUACCAAAACAAAAAUAUUAUAUAAUUUUAUUUUCCUUGACAUGAUUUAUACACUGACAAACAUAAUUAUAUUAUAUAACAAACUUUGUAUACGUAUACGGAGGCCUGUUCUAUACUGUGCUAAGAAACUGCUUGUGUAAAAACGAAUAAUUGGUUUGGACAGACUGACGAUAGUUGUAGAGUCCGGCGGAGAUUCACUUUUUUUUCGAGUGAUUCGGUCACCUUUUUUCGAAUGAAGAUCAAAUGAUAUAGUUACAAACCUGAUCUUGAACAGUAUCAAAAAGUUGUAGAAAGUUUACUGUGAUGUCACUUUUGUGGCGUUGACCCAGUCGUGUGAAAGACAGUUCGCGGUUCUUUUGUGCUGUUUUGUGUGCGGUCCUAUGUUGUUUUACGUGUUCGUUGUUAUUAAGUAUUUAGCAUGUCGAAAUGGACUAAUGUAUUGUUUAAUUGUGUUUUACUCUGUCCUUAAUGUUCUGAAUGCAUUUGUUUGUUCUGUAUUCCUGUCAUGUAAUGGUAACAUUUUAGUGUUAUUUAACAUUGCCAUAAAAAGUUUGGCUAGCCACAAAACUAGGUCAACCCACAAUAUUUUCAUUAAAUGUACCAAGUCAGGAAAAUGGCAGUUGUUAUCUUAUAGUUCGUUUAUGUGUGUGUUGCAUUGUCGUUGUUUUUAGUUUACUUCAGUGUUUCUGUUGUUUUGUUGUUUUCUUCUUAUAGGUGAUGUGUUUCCUGCAGUUUUAUUUGUAGCACUGAUAUGUUUUUUUCUCAAUCGAUUUAUGACUUUCGAACAGCGAUAUACUACUGUUGUCUUUAUUUAUCGAGCGGUAUUACAUCCGAUCAGAUCGAUUUACUGUUAAUUCGCGAUUUUAUUUUAGUUGUAUUAGUUUCUAUUCGUCUGAUUGGUAUACAUGUUUUGAACAAGAAAGACGCACGAGUUCCGUUAUUUACGUUGACAGGAAGUAAUCAAAUUUUAAGUCUUAGUCUUGUUAAAAAAAAACCAUAAUAAAAACUACAGGUUUAAGGUUACAUACAAUAGUUAUAUAAUUAUCUAUUUAAUGUUCACUGCAUUAUAAACAGAACUUAUCUGACAUCAUUAAUUUAUACCAGGCGUAAGUUAGUUGUGAACAUUGACAAGUUUCCUUAAAAUAUAUCUGAAAAAAUCAAAACAAUUGAACAACAUAUAAGAUAAUUGUAUAAUGGUAGAAAGUUCCAGUAUUUUUUAUGUACAUAUAGCGGUGUUGUUAACUGGAAUUAAGUUAUAUUGUUAUUGGACUUCUGUGUCUGUCAUAUCAGAUUUUUAAAUGUAUUACAAUACGAAGUGGAGAAACAAAACUUAAGUCGAAGACAAAUAAAAUCAUUUUUUUUUUUUAUAUUUGAGCAUAUGGAUUCCUUUUUUUCUCUUUACUUUUUUACAGUUUUUACGUAAAAGGUGCUUGACAGUGUGGAAAGGUUGAUAAAAUUAAUGAGGGUCUUGUUUACAGAAUAGAGAAAAAGGCAAGAGAAUAAUGAAACAUAGGAAAAAGAUAAAGAAUAGAUAAUAAUCGGGUGUAAAAGUAUAAAGAAUUGUAACUGUUGAAAAAUUAAGUAAAACAAAACUGAGUAUUAAAAUUUGUGGUGUACAGAAUAAGGAAAUAAUUGUCUUACAGAAAAUGUUGAUAGUAUUAUUAUUGUAAUAAAACAUUUAUAGAACAAGCAGUAAAAAUGUCCUUUAAUUGAAAAUAUGCAGAUAUUGAGAAACCCACAUCUAG
rnacentral:lncRNA from 1 species